UCAUACGGGAGGCAGCAGUGGGGAAUAUUGCACAAUGGGGGAAACCCUGAUGCAGCCAUGCCGCGUGUGUGAAGAAGGCCUUCGGGUUGUAAAGCACUUUCAGUUGUGAGGAAAGGUUGGUAGUUAAUACCUGCCAGCUGUGACGUUAACAACAGAAGAAGCACCGGCUAACUCCGUGCCAGCAGCCGCGGUAAUACGGAGGGUGCGAGCGUUAAUCGGAAUUACUGGGCGUAAAGCGCACGCAGGCGGUUUGUUAAGCUAGAUGUGAAAGCCCCGGGCUCAACCUGGGAUGGUCAUUUAGAACUGGCAGACUAGAGUCUUGGAGAGGGGAGUGGAAUUCCAGGUGUAGCGGUGAAAUGCGUAGAUAUCUGGAGGAACAUCAGUGGCGAAGGCGGCUCCCUGGCCAAAGACUGACGCUCAUGUGCGAAAGUGUGGGUAGCGAACAGGAUUAGAUACCCUGGUAGUCCACACCGUAAACGCUGUCUACUAGCUGUUUGUGAAUUUUAUUCGUGAGUAGCGAAGCUAACGCGCUAAGUAAACCGCCU
rnacentral:rRNA from 1 species